rnacentral:lncRNA from 1 species
UUUCACUCUUCUGAAUUCGCAUCGGCAGAUGAGCGACGCCGGCGAAGCGGCUUGGCCUUGCGUUCUCCGUCGUUGUUCAUCGACACGGUUUUCCUUUCUGAUGUAUCCAGGUAUUAAAGACGCUGGCUGAUUCCGAGCACUAGAGCUCACCGCCGCCUGCAGCGAUGGCCGACUUCUCUUGGCUCACGGUGCUUGGCUUCCUCUUCCUCACCUUCAACUCCGGCAUGGCGAUUUAUCGCUCCAACGGCGACGCUGGCUCCGUCACCUUCGUCGUGGUAUCUUACCUCGACCUGCUGGCCCUCUUCGCCUGCCUGCGCUACUACGAGCAGUUGGAUCGCCACUCCCCCAAGCGCGCGACGGUCAAGGCUGGGGUUUGGAGCCUCACGACGCUCCUUACGGUCAUGUUCAGCUACAAAGUCGCUGAGAUUAUGCCCCUGCCCGUCAAAAUUCUUGUCUGGUCGAUGGCAGCGGCUACCUCCUGUGGCGGCUUCUACGCUUUCUUCGUCCACGACGAGAAGCCUGUCCUGCCAGCGG